GAGCACGUAGGUGGGUUUGUAAGUCAGAUGUGAAAGCCUUCUGUUCAACGGAAGAAUUGCAUCUGAAACUGCGAGUCUUGAGUGUAGGAGGGGAGAACGGAACUUCUGGUGGAGCGGUGAAAUGCGUAGAUAUCAGAAGGAACGCCGGUGGCGAAGCGAUUCUCUGGCCUAUUACUGACACUCAGUGUGCGAAAGCUAGGGGAGCAAACGGGAUUAGAUACCCCGGUAGUCCUAGCCGUAAACGAUGGGCACUAAGUAGAGGGGUUUU
rnacentral:rRNA from 1 species